rnacentral:misc_RNA from 1 species
UGAGGGAUCAACGCCAUUUUAUCAUUUUCCUUUUUUCCACGAGUUCCCAAGCCGAGCGGGUAAGUAAGUGUUCCUCUCCCACUACUCGAAAUAGCUUUGAGGUUGCAGUGUUGCGAGAGAACUUCGAACCUGGUUUGCAAGCACCAAGGAAGUUUGAACCAUUGUUUUCCGCUAGAACAUCGUUAUCAUCAGCAAUCAGAAGCAAAGCCUGCUGUCUAAACUGUGCAUCGAAAUCGUCUUGGUCGUUAACAGCCUCAAAUUCCAAACAAGGGUCUCUGCUUAAAUGCCUGUAGGCCUGAAUUGGAGCAAUUCAAGGGAAGUGCAUGGUGAAAGAAAAUAAACCGGGAUUCAUAUAGAAUCUCUAUUUACCAA